rnacentral:rRNA from 1 species
UGGGGAAUAUUGGGCAAUGGGCGCAAGCCUGACCCAGCAACGCCGCGUGAAGGAAGAAGGCUUUCGGGUUGUAAACUUCUUUUGUCAGGGAAGAUGAACAGACUGUACCUGACGAAUAAGCCACGGCUAACUACGUGCCAGCAGCCGCGGUAAUACGUAGGUGGCAAGCGUUGUCCGGAUUUACUGGGUGUAAAGGGCGUGUAGGCGGGAUUGCAAGUCAGGCGUGAAAACCAGGGGCUCAACCUCUGGCCUGCGUUUGAAACUGUAGUUCUUGAGUACUGGAGAGGUUGACGGAAUUCCUAGUGUAGCGGUGAAAUGCGUAGAUAUUAGGAGGAACACCAGUGGCGAAGGCGGUCAACUGGACAGCAACUGACGCUGAGGCGCGAAAGCGUGGGGAGCAAACA